rnacentral:lncRNA from 1 species
CGGACCCUGUAGAGUCGGUCUCUGUUGCUCUUUUUGCCUGAGGAGUCUUCCAUCCUACGUCGAGCUCUGACUCCCGUGCUGUCGAGAGGGAGUCCCCGGGGACACCUCGGCACGCAGCGGAGAUGCCUCUUUUUGCCACCAAUCCCUUCGAUCAGGAUGUUGAGAAAGCAACCAGCGAGAUGAAUACUGCUGAGGACUGGGGCCUCAUUUUGGAUAUCUGUGAUAAAGUUGGUCAGUCUCGCACUGGACCUAAGGAUUGUCUUCGGUCUAUUAUGAGAAGAGUGAACCACAAAGAUCCUCACGUUGCUAUGCAGGCUUUGACUCUUCUAGGAGCAUGUGUAUCAAACUGUGGCAAAAUUUUUCAUUUAGAAGUAUGUUCAAGAGAUUUUGCUAGUGAAGUAAGCAACGUAUUAAAUAAGGGUCAUCCUAAAGUAUGUGAAAAAUUAAAGGCUCUUAUGGUUGAAUGGACAGAUGAAUUUAAGAAUGAUCCACAGCUUAGUCUAAUAUCAGCAAUGAUUAAGAACCUUAAGGAACAAGGAGUUACGUUCCCAGCUAUUGGCUCUCAGGCUGCAGAACAAGCAAAAGCAAGCCCAGCUCUUGUAGCCAAGGAUCCUGGUACUGUGGCU